AACGCUGUGAUGAGGUUACCUAAUGUUGUUUGGCAGUGGCGGCUUUGCUGCCGUGAGCCUUAACAAAAACGACUUCUUCUUCCACUGAGCGUU
rnacentral:snoRNA from 1 species